UACGAAGGGGGCGAGCGUUGUUCGGAAUCAUUGGGCGUAAAGGGCGCGUAGGCGGGCUUGUAAGUCGGUUGUGAAAUCCCUGGGCUUAACCUGGGAAUUGCAUUCGAAACUGCAAGUCUUGAGUUCUACGAGAGGAUGGUGGAAUUCCUGGAGUAGUAGUGAAAUACGUAGAUAUCAGGAGGAACACCGGAGGCGAAGGCGGCCAUCUGGCGAGACACUGACGCUAAGGCGCGAAAGCGUGGUAG
rnacentral:rRNA from 1 species